AUAUCAUUAAUCAUUUGGAGGAGGUUCUUCUUUACAAAGACAUUUACCCCAAAAUGUUCAUUAAAUUGCAGAAGACUGGAGGUGGUGUUCUUCAUUUUGGAUGCCCACAUGCCAUUGUUUAUUGUUCCUCACCUCUUUGGUGGCAAGAGUCAGCGAGGGACCACAUUGAUGCACUUGAGUUUAAAAACUCCACCGACUAUGUACAUUUCAGAUGUAGCUGGACGUGUUGCAUGACACGCCAACAACAGAUUUCGCCAGGCAUUUUUCAGGCCUUUUGAUGGCAGACUGUGUGAAGCCACAGCUGAAAAUGUGGCCAGGGCUUCAUCCAAGGAGCUUGUUGUCCAUUUACCCUGGGUUAAAACCAUAAAAGAAGGUGGACCUGUCCAGAGUCAAAAUAAUUGAGGCACAGAAGCACUUGACAAACCUCAACCCAUCACAGGAAAAUCAGAUAGGUUUUCGUUGUACAACCGCUUUCAUCAGCAUAACCAAAAACAGGAAAAAGAGAAACUGAGAAGCCUUGAUCUUGUCCCAGAGCUCACUGUUCUCAUCAACUCUUCCAUGGCAAAGCAUAACUGGGAGCUUGCAAAUUCUUGAUACUUUCUUUGCCAGUUGAAAGAUAUUCAUUAUAUGUUUGCACUUCGAUUGGUGUUCUAUUUGCAUAACAGCAGAGUGAACAAAGCAUUUAUGGACAAAAUGCUAAGGUAGACACAAGGGUCAGCUGAAUUUGGACUGGAGGGAAGACUGUGCCUCUUCACUACAUAUAUACUGUAGGCACUCACUCAACAUUAAAAAAACCUGACUAUAUGAAAAAAAAAGAAGAAAAAAUUCAUCCCAUGGGAAGGACAACACUUCAGCACAUCAGUUUUCCCCAUCUUGAAGGAAAACAAGGACAAGCUUUCUGAACUGUACUCCACUGUACAAAAUGAUGCUUCUGUCCUUGUGCAAAUGAACAACUGUAUAAUAACAAUUAAGGACCUACUGACAAUCCUGCACAGUCCAUUUCGCCCGGAUCAGAAGACAUCC
ensembl:lncRNA